rnacentral:rRNA from 1 species
UACGUAGGGGGCAAGCGUUGUCCGGAAUCAUUGGGCGUAAAGCGCGUGUAGGUGGCUUGGUAAGUGCGGUGUGAAACCCUGGGGCUCAACCCCAGGCCUGCACCGCAUACUGCCUCGCUCGAGUUCGGGAGGGGAGAGCGGAAUUCCUAGUGUAGCGGUGAAAUGCGCAGAUAUUAGGAAGAACACCGGUGGCGAAGGCGGCUCUCUGGAACGAUACUGACACUGAGACGCGAAAGCGUGGGUAGCGAACAGG